rnacentral:rRNA from 3 species
CGCUGUGAAGAUGCAGUGUACCCGCGGCAAGACGGAAAGACCCCGUGAACCUUUACUAUAGCUUGACACUGAACAUUGAGCCUUGAUGUGUAGGAUAGGUGGGAGGCUUUGAAGUGUGGACGCCAGUCUGCAUGGAGCCGACCUUGAAAUACCACCCUUUAAUGUUUGAUGUUCUAACGUGGACCCGUUACCCGGGUUGCGGACAGUGUCUGGUGGGUAGUUUGACUGGGGCGGUCUCCUCCUAAAGAGUAACGGAGGAGCACGAAGGUUGGCUAAUCCUGGUCGGACAUCAGGAGGUUAGUGCAAUGGCAUAAGCCAGCUUGACUGCGAGCGUGACGGCGCGAGCAGGUGCGAAAGCAGGUCAUAGUGAUCCGGUGGUUCUGAAUGGAAGGGCCAUCGCUCAACGGAUAAAAGGUACUCCGGGGAUAACAGGCUGAUACCGCCCAAGAGUUCAUAUCGACGGCGGUGUUUGGCACCUCGAUGUCGGCUCAUCACAUCCUGGGGCUGAAGUAGGUCCCAAGGGUAUGGCUGUUCGCCAUUUAAAGUGGUACGCGAGCUGGGUUUAGAACGUCGUGAGACAGUUCGGUCCCUAUCUGCCGUGGGCGCUGGAGAACUGAGGGGGGCUGCUCCUAGUACGAGAGGACCGGAGUGGACGCAUCACUGGUGUUCGGGUUGUCAUGCCAAUGGCACUGCCCGGUAGCUAAAUGCGGAAGAGAUAAGUGCUGAAAGCAUCUAAGCACGAAACUUGCCCCGA